UGCUGUGAGCUCGAUGAGUAGGGCGGGACACGUGGUAUCCUGUCUGAAUAUGGGGGGACCAUCCUCCAAGGCUAAAUACUCCUGACUGACCGAUAGUGAACCAGUACCGUGAGGGAAAGGCGAAAAGAACCCCGGCGAGGGGAGUGAAAAAGAACCUGAAACCGUGUACGUACAAGCAGUGGGAGCACAGGUUUACCUGUGUGACUGCGUACCUUUUGUAUAAUGGGUCAGCGACUUAUAUUCUGUAGCAAGGUUAACCGUAUAGGGGAGCCGGAGGGAAACCGAGUCUUAAUUGGGCGUUAAGUUGCAGGGUAUAGACCCGAAACCCGGUGAUCUAGCCAUGGGCAGGUUGAAGGUUGGGUAACACUAACUGGAGGACCGAACCGACUAAUGUUGAAAAAUUAGCGGAUGACCUGUGGCUGGGGGUGAAAGGCCAAUCAAACCGGGAGAUAGCUGGUUCUCCCCGAAAGCUAUUUAGGUAGCGCCUCGUGAACUCAUCUCCGGGGGUAGAGCACUGUUUCGGCUAGGGGGCCAUCCCGGCUUACCAACCCGAUGCAAACUGCGAAUACCGGAGAAUGUUAUCACGGGAGACACACGGCGGGUGCUAACGUCCGUCGUGAAGAGGGAAACAACCCAGACCGCCAGCUAAGGUCCCAAAGUCAUGGUUAAGUGGGAAACGAUGUGGGAAGGCCCAGACAGCCAGGAUGUUGGCUUAGAAGCAGCCAUCAUUUAAAGAAAGCGUAAUAGCUCACUGGUCGAGUCGGCCUGCGCGGAAGAUGUAACGGGGCUAAACCAUGCACCGAAGCUGCGGCAGCGACACUGUGUGUUGUUGGGUAGGGGAGCGUUCUGUAAGCCUGUGAAGGUGUGUCGUGAGGCAUGCUGGAGGUAUCAGAAGUGCGAAUGCUGACAUAAGUAACGAUAAAGCGGGUGAAAAGCCCGCUCGCCGGAAGACCAAGGGUUCCUGUCCAACGUUAAUCGGGGCAGGGUGAGUCGACCCCUAAGGCGAGGCCGA
rnacentral:rRNA from 1 species